rnacentral:rRNA from 1 species
ACAGGGUGACAGGUGGUGCAUGGUUGUCGUCAGCUCGUGUCGUGAGAUGUUGGGUUAAGUCCCGCAACGAGCGCAACCCUCGACCUUAGUUGCCAGCAUUCAGUUGGGCACUCUAAGGUGACUGCCGGCUAAAAGUCGGAGGAAGGUGGGAUGACGUCAAAUCAUCAUGCCCCUUAUGUUCUGGGCUACACACGUGCUACAAUGGCCGGUACAGACGGACGCAAAGCCGCGAGGCGGAGCAAAUCCGAAAAAGCCGGUCUCAGUUCGGAUUGCAGGCUGCAAUUCGCCUGCAUGAAGUCGGAAUCGCUAGUAAUCGCAGGUCAGCAUACUGCGGUGAAUACGUUCCCGGGCCUU